rnacentral:rRNA from 1 species
AGAGUUUGAUCAUGGCUCAGAUUGAACGCUGGCGGAAUGCUUUACACAUGCAAGUCGAACGGCAGCACGGGGCAACCUGGUGGCGAGUGGCGAACGGGUGAGUAAUACAUCGGAACGUGCCCAAUCGUGGGGGAUAACGUAGCGAAAGUUACGCUAAUACCGCAUACGAUCUACGGAUGAAAGCGGGGGAUCGCAAGACCUCGCGCGAAUGGAGCGGCCGAUGUCAGAUUAGGUAGUUGGUGGGGUAAAGGCUCACCAAGCCAACGAUCUGUAGCUGGUCUGAGAGGACGACCAGCCACACUGGAACUGAGACACGGUCCAGACUCCUACGGGAGGCAGCAGGUGGGGUAAUUUUGGACAAUGGGGGCAACCCUGAUCCAGCCAUGCCGCGUGAGUGAAGAAGGCCUUCGGGUUGUAAAGCUCUUUCGGUGGGAAGAAAUUGCUUCGGUUAAUACCUGGAGUAGAUGACGGUACCCGCAUAAGAAGCACCGGCUAACUACGUG